GCUUUUGUGUGCAUGCACACUUCUUCAGAUACACUUCUUUGUAUCUGAAGAAGUGUGCAUGCACACGAAAGC
rnacentral:miRNA from 1 species